rnacentral:piRNA from 1 species
UUCNGAGGUACCAGGGAGCAGGAUGAUGU